rnacentral:rRNA from 1 species
GGAAAUCUCACCAGGCCCGGACACUGGAAGGAUUGACAGAUUGAUAGCUCUUUCUUGAUUCAGUGGGUGGUGGUGCAUGGCUGUUCUUAGUUGGUUGAGUGAUUUGUCUUGUUAAUUCCGUUAACGAACGAGACCUUAACCUGCUAAAUAGUGACGCGGUUCAUCGAACCGUGGGCCACUUCUUAGAGGGACUAUCGGAUUCAAACCGAUGGAAGUGUGAGGCAAUAA